rnacentral:rRNA from 1 species
AUUGAACGCUGGCGGCAGGCCUAACACAUGCAAGUCGAGCGGAUGACGGGAGCUUGCUCCUUGAUUCAGCGGCGGACGGGUGAGUAAUGCCUAGGAAUCUGCCUGGUAGUGGGGGACAACGUUUCGAAAGGAACGCUAAUACCGCAUACGUCCUACGGGAGAAAGCAGGGGACCUUCGGGCCUUGCGCUAUCAGAUGAGCCUAGGUCGGAUUAGCUAGUAGGUGAGGUAAUGGCUCACCUAGGCGACGAUCCGUAACUGGUCUGAGAGGCUGAUCAGUCACACUGGAACUGAGACCAGGUCCAGACUCCUACGGGAGGCAGCAGUGGGGAAUAUUGGACAAUGGGCGAAAGCCUGAUCCAGCCAUGCCGCGUGUGUGAAGAAGGUCUUCGGAUUGUAAAGCACUUUAAGUUGGGAGGAAGGGCAGUAAGCUAAUACCUUGCUGUUUUGACGUUACCGACAGAAUAAGCACCGGCUAACUCUGUGCCAGCCGCCGCAGUAACAC